UCGGCAAUGGACGAAAGUCUGACCGAGCAACGCCGCGUGUGCGAUGAAGGCCUUCGGGUUGUAAAGCACUGUCGAGGGGAAACAAGCCGUAAGGUUGAGUGACCCCUGGAGGAAGCACGGGCUAAGUUCGUGCCAGCAGCCGCGGUAAGACGAACCGUGCAAACGUUAUUCGGAAUCACUGGGCUUAAAGGGCGCGUAGGCGGGUGAUCAAGUCAAUGGUGAAAUCCUCCAGCUUAACUGGAGAAGUGCCUUUGAUACUGAUUGUCUAGAGGGAGGUAGGGGCAUGUGGAACUUCAGGUGGAGCGGUGAAAUGCGUAGAUAUCUGAAGGAACGCCAGUGGCGAAAGCGAUGUGCUGGACCUCUUCUGACGCUGAGGCGCGAAAGCUAGGGGAUCAAACGGGAUUAGAUACCCCGGUAGUCUUGGCUGUAAACGAUGAGCACUUGAUUGAAGGGUCCUCCAUAGCCUUUCAGUCGUAGCGAAAGUGUUAAGUGCUCCGCCUGGGGAGUAUGGUCGCAAGGCUGAAACUCAAAGAA
rnacentral:rRNA from 1 species